rnacentral:misc_RNA from 1 species
UCGAAGCCUAGAAAGCACGACCGCGAACGAGUUUGAAAUCGGGGAAUCGUUGAGAAGCCUCAGGGCGUCUCUUCGANCCCCCGCUCGGAAGGCUUUGAGCUAUGCUCAUUUCCUUCCGAAACUUAACGAACCCCGGCGCGGCAAGCGCCAAGGAAUCCUAACGAAAGAACUUGGCCCUUUGGCCCGAUCUCGGGUUAGAGGGUCAUUGGUCUGUUCAAAUUUAUUAUAACGACUCUCGGCAACGGAUAUCUCGGCUCUCGCAUCGAUGAAGAACGUAGCGAAAUGCGAUACUUGGUGUGAAUUGCAGAAUCCCGUGAAUCAUCGAGUCUUUGAACGCAAGUUGCGCCCGAAGCCUUUAGGCCGAGGGCACGUCUGCCUGGGCGUCUCGCACUGCGAUGCCCCCACCAAAGUAUGGGGAGCGAAGCUUGGCCUCCCGUGAGCCCAUCUCGCGGAUGGCUUAAAAUUGAGCCUCGAGACGUUGAGACGUCGCGACAAGUGGUGGUAUAAGGCCUUUGGCUUUCGAUCUUAGCGCGUUGCGACCCUCGCCCUCGUAUUGCUCAAAAGUAACCAUACAGGCGCGCGUUUACGCGAUGCCAGCAUU